CCUCCCUUGAUAAUUUUGACGCCAUUUGUAACGUAUGAAAAACGUAAACUUUGAUCUCUGCUGAGAAAUUGAAAGUAUUUAGCGCAAAUUUUACGAGUUCUUUGGGGAAAAAGGCGGCACGGAGCAAACGGAUAUGGAUGUAUCUUUACAAGUAGAACUACUCGUUUUCUUUAUUUUUGUUACGUGGCCGGUGUGUACAGCAGAAGUGUGCUGCUUUCCGAACCAAAUGGAAGGAAAUGUGUCUAUCUUGUCUGACCAUCCUGUCGCCUCUGGUAACGGACUGUUUUUUUAGGUAAAUAUUGAUAUAUCUUUUGACUGGACAAAGCAAAGGAUGCGAGAAUAUUUUCCUGCCACAGGCUUCUUACAACUGGCAUUUUUCAAAGAGGGUGUGGUCUAUCAAAUAGCAAAUUCAACCUGCGUCAAAGGAAGAAUUUCACCGUUGCCUAGCAGCGCAGUUUGUGUUCCAGAAGGAGCCAAGUUACUAAGAAACUACCGGCUCGGUGUAAAAGAAAAGGUAAAUGUUACUGACUACCUGUUUAUGGCGGAUAGCGAUUUUCUGGAAAAUAUGGCGGUGCAAACAAUUAGAACAGUGACAGCCCAGUGCAUACCUGUAGAAGACAAGACCUUUCAGAAAAUCUCAGAUUGUAGGCUAAUCAAAUUUUAAGAAAAUCUUGAAAAAAGGAGUUAGAAAAGAAAAGCUGACUGACUUGGUUAAAAACAAACAAUUCUACUGUAAAAAUGUACUUGUAAAUUCGAGUAAAAAUGGCCCAACUAUGUUUUUUAUCAAAAAUGAAAUGAAAUUGUUACAGCUUUUGUAUACUUUAUAUAUGAUGAAAAUCUUGAAGGUGGCAAAAUAGUAACAUGCGUACAAAUGUAGAAGAUUGUAAAUGAUUUAUUCAGUAUUGCUCUAAGGGACUUAAACAAUAUGAUUCUUGGGCAGCGCUUUAAAAU